rnacentral:rRNA from 1 species
UACGUAGGGUGCAAGCGUUGUCCGGAAUUAUUGGGCGUAAAGAGCUCGUAGGCGGUCUGUCGCGUCUGCUGUGAAAACCUAGGGCUUAACCCUGGGCUUGCAGUGGAUACGGGCAGACUAGAGGUAGGUAGGGGAGAAUGGAAUUCCCGGUGUAGCGGUGAAAUGCGCAGAUAUCGGGAGGAACACCGGUGGCGAAGGCGGUCUCUGGGCCUUACCUGACGCUGAGGAGCGAAAGCGUGGGGAGCGAACAGG